rnacentral:lncRNA from 1 species
CUGAGGUCUUUUGCAAUGCAGGUCUUCACUUUUGCGUGGGGACUAAAGCAACAGCUAAGCACUGACUGUACUUGCGACACCGCAGGUAAUCAUCUGAGAGAGCACCACCUAGUGGCUGACACAGCUCCAGACAUUGCCCUGACAGGAAGGAACUCAAGGCAAGAAGAAAAGGGUUGGACCCUUUCUCAUGAGGAGAAAGAAGAGGGGGUGUUGAGCGGAAUGGAGGAUGGGGACCCUGCUCGUCUGCCUUCUAGUGCUGCCCAGAGUCACAGGACAGACUGCAGACAACGUGAGGCCUGUGAGGACAUCCUGCCCUGUCCUAAGUACGUGGGCCAGUAUCGACCCACUGGGGCUGUGCAGAAAAGCUCCAUGCUGUGGAUCCCGCAUGUUCCAGGACUGCUUGGUGUUCUCGACCCCUCCUGACCAGCACACAUCACCCUCUUACAAUGAUGGUAUUCUCGUAAACCCAUUCUACAGCAAAAGAAGCUGAAGCACAGAGAAAGUGGGUAUGGUGACCCACCGCAGUCUCCUAGGAAACCAGACUCUCAGUGCUAAAACUAUGAAAGUCAUCAGCAAACUGGACAAGGUGGCUACCCUAGCCCCUAGUCUUCCUCCCACUGUCCUCAUCUUCUUCUUUCUUUUUUUAUUUUUAUGUUGUUUCUUUGACAUGCUCU